GACGUAGGGGGCCAGCGUUGUUCGGAAUUACUGGGUGUAAAGGGUUCGUAGGCGGUGUGGCAAGUCGGGAGUGAAAUCCCGAGGCUCAACCUCGGGUCUGCAGUCGAUACGAGCAAACUAGAGUGUUGCAGGGGAGACUGGAAUUCCUGGUGUAGCGGUGAAAUGCGCAGAUAUCAGGAGGAACACCGGUGGCGAAGGCGGGUCUCUGGGCAACAACUGACGCUGAGGAGCGAAAGCGUGGGGAGCGAACAGG
rnacentral:rRNA from 1 species